rnacentral:rRNA from 1 species
UCUUCGGAGAGUUUGAUCCUGGCUCAGGAUGAACGCUGGCGGCGUGCCUAAUACAUGCAAGUCGAGCGAACUGAUUAGAAGCUUGCUUCUAUGACGUUAGCGGCGGACGGGUGAGUAACACGUGGGCAACCUGCCUGUAAGACUUGGAUGACUUCGGGAAACCGAAGCUAAUACCGGAUGGGAUCUUCU